AGCAGGCAGUUAGUGGAAAGGCAGCUGCUGUGUAUUGUUCUUACUUCAGCCUUGAAGAUUUCUCCUGCGUACAAGCCUAGCUGUAAAGUUACCAGCCAACCUUUCAUAGCCACAAAAGCCUUGCUGGUGUCAAAAGUGCAGUUUUUGAAAGUUCAGAGACACUCAGUAUGAAAAAAAGAUGCACUGCUUCUGUGCUUCAUACACCCCCGGCCGGAGUCCUAGAUCCAGGGUGGGACUCUAUCUUGUUGACACCAUGCAGCAAAACGGGCUGAUCUAUAUGAACCAGCAAAAAAGCAAGGAGAGGGAGAGUGGCUGUGACUAACAUGAAGGGAGCCUGUAGCACUUCUGGAUUUGCCACUGCUGGGGACUGAAGAUCUUCUUCAUGCAAAGCUGAUCCUCUACCACCACUGAGCUAUGUGGUCCUUCCUCUUCUGAUGUUACCUUUGCACAACUCUUUGCCAUGCUGUUUUGGUAAAGAUGAGAAGCCCCAGGACAUACUGGGUGUUUCCCCUAACAGAAACUGCAGCUAAACUGGGAGGAAACUCUAAAGGUUUUAUUUCAGUCCAUCAAGGCAUUAUCAUUUUAUGACAUUGUGCAUUCAUAGGCACCUUGUCUGAUAAAUUCAUUUUGUGUCCUAAACAAGUUGUGCCCUAACCAUAAUUAGACUCUAGCGAGGCCUCUAAAAUCUAAAAUUUAACAUACAUUCAAAUAGCAGGUCGGUCAUGUUGUCAAGUUUUUCAAGAUUCCUGAAACACAAAUGAUGAGCCUGUGAUUCUAACAAACAAAAAAUAUUUUAAAAGGAUAUAUGUGUAGAUCUGCCAUGAAGUAAUGGAUAACAGCACCGCAGGGUGACUGAGGUUGGAUUUAGUCAUUCAAGAUUCUAACUUCUUUCAAAUCCCCCUAUACUUUCCUCUGACAAAGGCUUCCUGCAAAAUUGCAGCUUCCUCUUCCAGCUUCCUCUUCCACUGUCAUUUGAUUCACUCUCUUCCACAAACCUCCAUCUGUGGAUUGUAAAUGUUCCCCAUAUUCUGAUUUUAUCUGUUUAAUGUAGAUUAUAAAGUUAGCACAAACGGUGCAGCCUAUAUGACCUCUACUGCAUCUAAUAUGAUUCAGGCAAUAUUGGCAUGUAUCAGUAGAAUGUAUUCCCAUUGUUACUAAAGUCAAGACUUCUGUUUUGUGACAUUUCAUUAAAACAUUGUCCAUUUGAAAAACACACACUACGUAACAAGAUGUACAAGAACCCUUUAUCUGCUUCUUGCUUGUAUCUUGUAAGUCUAACCAUUUCUGUUAGAUGCAAAAUUAUCUAUCACUUUCAGACAAA